GACGCAUCACUGGUGUUCGGGUUGUCAUGCCAAUGGCACUGCCCGGUAGCUAAAUGCGGAAGAGAUAAGUGCUGAAAGCAUCUAAGCACGAAACUUGCCCCGAGAUGAGUUCUCCCUGACUCCUUGAGAGUCCUGAAGGAACGUUGAAGACGACGACGUUGAUAGGCCGGGUGUGUAAGCGCAGCGAUGCGUUGAGCUAACCGGUACUAAUGAACCGUGAGGCUUAACCUUACAACGCCGAAGAUGUUUUGGCGGAUNGAAGGAACGUUGAAGACGACGACGUUGAUAGGCCGGGUGUGUAAGCGCAGCGAUGCGUUGAGCUAACCGGUACUAAUGAACCGUGAGGCUUAACCUUACAACGCCGAAG
rnacentral:rRNA from 1 species